rnacentral:rRNA from 1 species
CCUACGGGAGGCAGCAGUGGGGAAUAUUGGACAAUGGGGGGAACCCUGAUCCAGCCAUGCCGCGUGUGUGAAGAAGGCCCUCGGGUUGUAAAGCACUUUCAGUGAGGAAGAACGCCUGGUGGUUAAUACCCAUCAGGAAAGACAUCACUCACAGAAGAAGCACCGGCUAACUCCGUGCCAGCAGCCGCGGUAAUACGGAGGGUGCGAGCGUUAAUCGGAAUUACUGGGCGUAAAGCGCGCGUAGGUGGCUUGAUAAGCCGGUUGUGAAAGCCCCGGGCUCAACCUGGGAACGGCAUCCGGAACUGUCAAGCUAGAGUGCAGGAGAGGAAGGUAGAAUUCCCUGUGUAGCGGUGAAAUGCGUAGAGAUCGGGAGGAAUACCAGUGGCGAAGGCGGCCUUCUGGACUGACACUGACACUGAGGUGCGAAAGCGUGGGUAGCAAACAGGAUUAGAUACCCUGGUAGUC